GGGUUUCACGAUGAGGAUAAAAAGCUCCCUCUUCUGAAAUCUUUGAGGAAGUCCGCUGGCAGAAUCGAACCUUAAAACUUAUUGCCACCACUGAGUGA
rfam:Lupinus angustifolius cultivar Tanjil chromosome LG08, whole genome shotgun sequence.